GCCAGCAGCUGCAUCACCCUGCAACUCACAACUGGCAACCCACUAAAGCUCAGCAGGUGUGAGCCUGGUCAGUACCUGGAUGGGAGACCUCCUGGGAAAAACAAAGGUUGCUGCUGGAA
rnacentral:rRNA from 1 species